GACGAACGCUGGCGGCGUGCCUAAUACAUGCAAGUCGAACGCAGUGGGGACGGGUGAGUAACACGUGGGUAACCUCCCAUCAGAGGGGAUAACACUUGGAAACAGGUGCUAAACCGAUACUGAUGGAUGGACCCGCGGUGCAUUAGCUAGUUGGUGAGGUAACGGCUCACCAAGGCCACGAUGCAUAGCUGACCUGAGAGGGGGAUCGGCCACACGGGGACUGAGACACGGCCCGGAUUCUUACGGGAGGCAGCAGUGGGGAAUCUGCGGCAAGGGACGAAGGUCGGACCGAGCAACGCGGCGUGGGUGAAGAAGGUUUUGGGAUCGUAAAGCUCUGUGGUAAGGGAAGCGGUAGCUAAAAAGGAAGCCACGGCUAACUACGGGCCAGCAGCCGCGGUAAUUC
rnacentral:rRNA from 1 species